AUUGAACGCUGGCGGCAGGCCUAACACAUGCAAGUCGAGCGAGCGGCGGACGGGUGAGUAAUGUCUGGGAAACUGCCUGAGGGAGGGGGCUAACUACUGGAAACGGUAGCUAAUACCGCAUACCAUCAGAUGUGCCCAGAUGGGAUUAGCUGGUAGGUGGGGUAACGGCUCACCUAGGCGCCGAUCCCUAGCUGGUCUGAGAGGAUGACCAGCCACACUGGAAAUGAGACACGGUCCAGAAUCCUACGGGAGGCAGCAGUGAGGAAUAUUGCAACAUGGGCGCAAGCCUGAUGCAGCCAUGCCGCGUGUAUGAAGAAGGCCUUCGGGUUGUAAAGUACUUUCAGCGGGGAGGCGUUACCCGCAGAAGAAGCACCGGCUAACUCCGUGCCAGCCGCCGCGGUAAUUC
rnacentral:rRNA from 1 species